GUGUGUCGCCUCCUCUGCAUUCACAGAGAGCGUGGUAGAAACAGUGAACAUUUCUGGGAUUCCUCUGAAUUCAAAUAGGUGAAUUACUCCCAAACUGGGCACCAGGAUGGUCUUGCAUGAGAUUUCAUAAGGGAGAGAAUCUCCGUGACUCAGCCUGUGUCAGAUAUCACCCUCCCCGGCUCUGUCUGUCAGCCGUGGUGUGGAGCGUCUGACACAAACACGACAGCCAGGCUCUUCUGUCGUCAAAGGCCGUGGCUGGGGCCCUUCUGGACAAGAAGGUGGCAGGCAGAACUUAUUUGUGGUUCUGUCUCAUUAUUAAUGUCAAACGCAUUUCUUUAAAGAAAAAAAAUUAUGAAGCAGCAGCUGACCUGAAAACU